CGGGCUACUACAGAAACUAUAUCAUUUAUAUAAUGAAACAAUGCAAGAUGUAUUUGCUUGACAUUUUUCACUUGCAAAACUGCUGGACAAAUUACACUGCUACUGCUGCAAAUGCAGGCGCCAAUGACCCCAGCAAAAUCAUUACAAAUGAGAAAAAAAAAAAGGUUAACUCCCACAACCCUCUAAAUACAUGUAAAUGCAGACAUCUAAGCCUUUUGUAAUUAUAAGAUAAUCUCGAAUCACAAUCACUAAUUCUCACAAUCAACUAAGCCACAAACAAAUUCCACACAAACUAACACUUAAAUCUAACUAAGCAUUUAAUCUAACUGUGAAGAACUCCUUAUCUCUCUUCAAAAUAAACAAAUAUGACAGCCAUUUGUGACACCCAAAGCAACAUAUUAAAAGUGCUAUUCUCUUACUUUACUUCGUCUGCUACCUAUCUCUCUCUCUGCAAUGUCAUCUUUUCAGCUUCCUUUUUGGGCUCUCCUGUUUCAUGAGCUAUGCGCUCUUUCCUCAACAAGAAAGGCCAAAAUGUUAACAACAACAAUAUGAGACAUGCUUAAUUGUAAGGCAUAACAGGAAAUGAAUUUGACACCUUAUUUAAGGAUGAGAAAUAAAGAUAAACUGUACAUCUAAACCCUAAACAACAAGCUUCUCUAUUUAAAGGAACAUUAAUGUUUCAUUUUAUGUGUACUUUCUUUCUUCCACCAUUAUACAUGUGCAUUGUUAAUUUAAGGCGCAAGUGUGUAGAAGUUUAAUUGACAUACAAAAUUCAAACAACUCUUAAGAUGAGGCCUCUGUACCAAAAAUCAUACAAUUUUAGCAAAAAUAAUAAUAAUCAUCUCAACUCCAACCAUUCACACCAAAACAGCCUGAAAUUCUUGAACUCAGCUUCUUUCUUCUUUCCUAUAGCUUUUCGGAAUAUAUUUAUCAUAUAAUCCCGUCUUAAAAUCUUCCCAAGUAUAACUUGCCCAUUGUUCAGGUGUCAGAAUUUUUCGACGUGCUUCCCACCAGAAGUCAGCUGAUCCUGUUAGUUGGAAAGAGACGCAAGAUAGGCGCUCCUCAUCAGUACAACGUAGAAAGUUGAAAAUGCGUUCCAUUGCACGCACCCAAAUCUCAGCUUCAGCUGGUUCACUCGUUCCGUCAAACGUAGGUGGAUUUUGCCUUAA
rnacentral:lncRNA from 1 species